rnacentral:sRNA from 1 species
AAAGCAAGAGAUUGAGAGUGGGAAACAGACGGACAGAGAGCAACGCUCAGGUCAUGAAUUUUCUUACUACCUUUAGAAAAUAAAUGACCAUUUUGAUAAUUGCUACUUUAUUGUUUUCCUUAGAACUCUUUCAUCAAUCUACCAACAGCCCUUACCAAUGAGCUCGACUGGCCCCAACUCUCUGGUGCUACAGGAUUUCUGGACUCCACUGUUGGAAUUAAAGAAAAAUCUAUUUACCUUCGCUUAUGGAAAAGAAACCACUGUAAUCACAGGGACUACCAGAAUAUUUCAAGAAAUGGUGCAUCUUCCCGAAACCUGAAGAAAUUUAUAGAAAGCUUGUCUAGAAACAAGAUGUUGGACUAUCCCGCCAUCGUUAUAUAUGCCAUGAUUGGAAAUGAUGUCUGCAGUGGGAAGAGUGACCCAGUCCCAGCCAUGACCACUCCUGAGAAACUCUGCUCCAACAUCAUGCAGACUCUGAAGCAUCUAAAUUCCCACCUGCCCAAUGGCAGCCAUGUUAUUUUUUAUGGCUUACCAGAUGGAACCUUUCUCUGGGAUAAUUUACACAACAGAUAUCAUCCUCUCGGCCAGCUAAAU